AUGCGGGAAGCGAACAGGACACUGAGUGCAGAGGCAGUGGCUAAGAGCCAUAGCACAGAAUCCAGACUGAAUAUGGGUUUGAAUCCACCUUUCUAUCAUCUAUGUGAUCACAGGAGGACAAAAGUGGAGCGGUGGGUCAGAAGCGGAUUUGUGUAGCAGGAAACUCCUUCAUAGCCCUGAGAAAGGAAGAAUCAAUACUGUGUGUAUAAUGGUUUACUGAAGCCACAUCAUACAUGGGAGCAUGAAGAAGCUCUCAAUUUUCACUUUCAAUCGCUGCUGUUGGGUACGUUCUUUCCCUUCCUCUGGACCAGAUCUCAGGCAGGCCUUUGACUUUCCUGGUCCCUGUCCAGUAAAACCAACAAUUCUCCACUGAAGUAAAGUCACAAACACUCUCAGUUCGGUCAUCUAAAAAUCCAGCUCAGGCUUUCUGUAGACAGGAAGGCCAGGGUCAGAAAGAGGGUGCAGUUGGCAUAUUUUUCUAUAUUCUUUUCAUUCUCCAUCAUCUGACAAACCUUGCUCAGAUCAGAUCCUUCCAGAGUUGGAGCAGGAGAGGGAAAUACACUCAAGGGGAAAAUAUUCCCACUUAACAGGGAAAUAAUUUCAUCUCUUGAGAUUUGUC
rnacentral:lncRNA from 9 species